GUCGCCGCCGCCAGCUAGCGAGCACGCCAUGUCUGUCCGAGCUGCGAGGAGGAGAUGACCCGCUCACUUCCGGUGUGCGGCCCAACGGUCGGCGUCAGAUGUUUCCCCCCCCCCCCGAGUGGAGCGACGAACUCCACCAGACAAAACCAGGGAGCAGAACAACAACUAAAUACCAGCUGUUCCAGGUUUUUACCAUCAACAUCUGGAGCCACCGGAGCGGUCCUCAUUACCUGGAGGCUCUCCAAUAAGUGAUUCCCCCAGCGCUCUGAGGUUUAAGGCCAGCACCGGGAGGCCGAGGAGGGGAGGAGGGCCGUGCUGCUAAAAUACCACCGAUCCUGCUCAUAUUCAUCUAUAACCAUCUGGAACGAGGCGCUUACUUACGUAAGGUGCAUCUCCUUAUUGCUAAGAAUGCCCGAUGCCCAUGUAAGUAAAAUCAUUGGUGACUCACUGACAGGUGAUGCUCACGCAUGCCUAUGCAUGGUGUCUGAGAGGCAGCGAGGCUUGUGGGAGGACGGGACACAGAAGUGUGAGGAAAACGGCCUGAAAAGCAAGAGAUCAAAUGUGAUGAAGUGCCCACUGCUGUGCCAUCCAUGCUAGGAAGCUUCAGUGCCCUGGUGCCACACCUCAUACAGCUUUCAGUUCAUUCAAACAGCCUGAAUUAUUUAUUUUUUUCUUGGAUGAAAAACAUCAAUUAGACUCUGCUCCGCUUAAAAAUGGACUUGUGCACCAAGAGUACCAGCGUUGUAGUUUUCAACCAAUUGUUUAACAACUUCUCAGCUUUGGAGCCUUAAUAUUCAUAUCGCAACACAAGAAACAUACACCAGGUUGGUUUCAUUUCCAAAGACUUCCUUUCCUUUCGUCAUGCUGGACAUACAGCUUCGCCCUGUAA